CGUGUAGGCGGUCAGGUAAGUAAGACGUGAAAUGCCUCGGCUCACCCGAGGAGCGGCGUCUUAUACUGCUUGGCUUGAGUAUGGGAGAGGAUGUGGGAAUUCCUGGUGUAGCGGUGAAAUGCGUAGAUAUCAGGAGGAACACCGGUGGCGAAGGCGCACAUCUGGCCCAAUACUGACGCUGAGGCGCGAAAGCUAGGGGAGCAAACG
rnacentral:rRNA from 1 species